UAUUUUUACAAAUGAUAAUUUUGGGGGAAAUCGAAACAUGCAGGAUUCUGACGAAAGCCGAAAAGCGUGUGAUUGUCCCUUAAAUUGCAAAUCCCGAAUCUUAAUCGCUCCCAUGAGAUUCAUUUUUACAAAGUCGUAGGUUGGUGUUGUUGGAAAAGAAAGGGUCCUACAUCUACUCUCUCUCAACCUUUCUUCCUAUUUCUCGUUAACUUCCAAGGAAAAAAAGAAAAGUGGUAUAGUUAUAUGGAUAACGGAUCAUUGACCAAGGAGUCCAAAGAGGUGGCACGUGAAUCUCUUAUUGCUAUCUCUAACUCUCUGCCUGAAAAGACUCUGGAUUCAAACUCUGUGUCUGAGAGCAAGAAGUCAGAUGGGGUUGCAAUGCCAAGCCGUGAUAAAGAUGACAAAUUUAGGUCCGAGCUGAUUUCGAUUUCUUAUGCUGAAUCACCUGAUCUCAAAAUCUGAUCAGUUUUGAUGAUAAACUAGCUCGUGUGUAACUCAUGGAUUAUCGUUUUGUUGAAUUUUCUGUAUGACAAUGUUGUGACUGAACCGAUUAUGUAUUGUCUAAACUGUACUACUGCAACCCUAUGUAAAUAUUGUCACCGGCCACAUGCUUGGGUCGUUUGUUGUUUUUUGACUCUGGCAAUUGUGUUGUCUCAGUAUUAUGUUACUUCAUGUGCGGUUGUAAGUGUAGAACAUUUUCUUAUGUUAACAAUACUGUUUUGACCA